rfam:Myotis brandtii contig316295, whole genome shotgun sequence.
CCUUGUUUGUCGUGGCGACCAGAUGACACCAGGAGUCAUGGAGCCCCUGGCCAGUGUGAGUCGCAGCAGAGCAGCAGGGGAGACCCUGGAGGAGGGAGCUCCCCUCAAUUGAUGGCUGCAGAUUGAAUUUCCAGAGUCUGAGGAGGAGGAAGUGCUUCA